UGGGGAAUCUUCCGCAAUGGGCGCAAGCCUGACGGAGCAACGCCGCGUGAGUGAAGAAGGGUUUCGACUCGUAAAGCUCUGUUGUCGGGGACGAAUGUGGAGAUGGUGAAUAACCAUUUCUAAUGACGGUACCUGACUAAGAAGCACCGGCUAAAUACGUGCCAGCAGCCGCGGUAAUACGUAUGGUGCAAGCGUUAUCCAGAUUUACUGGGUGUAAAGGGAGCGCAGGCGGUGCGGCAAGUCUGAUGUGAAAGCCCGGGGCUCAACCCCGGUACUGCAUUGGAAACUGUCGUACUAGAGUGUCGGAGGGGUAAGUGGAAUUCCUAGUGUAGCGGUGAAAUGCGUAGAUAUUAGGAGGAACACCAGUGGCGAAGGCGGCUUACUGGACGAUAACUGACGCUGAGGCUCGAAAGCGUGGGGAGCAAACAGGAUUAGAUACCCUGGUAGU
rnacentral:rRNA from 1 species